rnacentral:rRNA from 1 species
GCCCUGCUUGCAGGGUGGAUUAGUGGCGAACGGGUGAGUAACACGUGAGUAACCUGCCCCCGACUCUGGGAUAAGCCCGGGAAACUGGGUCUAAUACCGGAUAUGACUUCCUACUGCAUGGUGGGUUGUUGAAAGAUUUAUCGGUGGGGGAUGGACUCGCGGCCUAUCAGCUUGUUGGUGAGGUAAUGGCUCACCAAGGCGACGACGGGUAGCCGGCCUGAGAGGGUGACCGGCCACACUGGGACUGAGACACGGCCCAGACUCCUACGGGAGGCAGCAGUGGGGAAUAUUGCACAAUGGGCGCAAGCCUGAUGCAGCGACGCCGCGUGAGGGAUGACGGCCUUCGGGUUGUAAACCUCUUUCAGUAGGGAAGAAGCGAAAGUGACGGUACCUGCAGAAGAAGCGCCGGCUAACUACGUGCCAGCAGCCGCGGUAAUACGUAGGGCGCAAGCGUUAUCCGGAUUUAUUGGGCGUAAAGAGCUCGUAGGCGGUUUGUCGCGUCUGCCGUGAAAGUCCGAGGCUCAACCUCGGAUCUGCGGUGGGUACGGGCAGACUAGAGUGAUGUAGGGGAGACUGGAAUUCCUGGUGUAGCGGUGAAAUGCGCAGAUAUCAGGAGGAACACCGAUGGCGAAGGCAGGUCUCUGGGCAUUUACUGACGCUGAGGAGCGAAAGCAUGGGGAGCGAACAGGAUUAGAUACCCUGGUAGUCCAUGCCGUAAACGUUGGGCACUAGGUGUGGGGGACAUUCCACGUUUUCCGCGCCGUAGCUAACGCAUUAAGUGCCCCGCCUGGGGAGUACGGCCGCAAGGCUAAAACUCAAAGGAAUUGACGGGGGCCCGCACAAGCGGCGGAGCAUGCGGAUUAAUUCGAUGCAACGCGAA